CAACUGACGAAUGCAUUACCUUUUUUGUUUUGUUUCGCUUGUUUAAUAGACUCUGUGCUGCAGAGGAAUUAACCCCCACAACACGGAGAAAAUAACACUGCGAAAAAAACCAUUUGUGAGGACCACAAAUAAUAAAGUGACUAGGGGUCCCCAAGUCCCUAGUCACUCCCCCCCCAAUAAAAAUACCUACCUACCCCCCUCAUCCUAAUAAUAGUGAAGGGGGGCAAUAAAC